GACGUAGGGCGCGAGCGUUGUCCGGAUUUAUUGGGCGUAAAGCGCGUGUAGGCGGGCCGGCACGUCGGCUGCUGAAAUCCCCCGGCUCAACCGGGGAAGGGGCACCGAUACGACCGGCCUGGAGGGGGGUAGGGGGGACGGGAACUUCCGGUGGAGCGGUGAAAUGCGUUGAGAUCGGAAGGAACGCCCGCGGCGAAAGCGCGUCCCUGGACCCCGCCUGACGCUGAGACGCGAAAGCCAGGGGAGCGAACGGG
rnacentral:rRNA from 1 species